rnacentral:misc_RNA from 1 species
AACGCACAUUGCGCCCCCUGGUAUUCCUAGGGGCAUGCCUAUUCGAGCGUCGUUUACUCCCUCAAGCGCAAGCUUGGUGUUGGGGAUCGCCCCUCCCUUCGCGGGAGGCGGCGGCCCUUGAAUCCAUCGGCGGUGCCGGUGCGGCCUGGAGCGCAGCAGCGAUGCAGCUCGUGGGGUCCGCUCGACGCCUGCCGUGCAAGCGUGGCUUCUCUCGCAGAACCACAUUCCAACGUCGACCUCGAAUUAGGUAGGGAUACCCGCUGAACUUAA